CACCAUUGAGCUGCUGGAAAUCCUCAGGUCCAUCACCUACCAGCUUUUCAACUCCCUCUUCUCUCCACGCUACUGCUGCUCCUCCUAGGCCUGGAUGUAGCUCCAGUGCAGCAGCAUCUGAGCAUCAUCUGAUUGAGUAUGAGGACACAGAAAUGCCCCCUGGCCCAUCAGCCCCUCCUGCUAGUUCUCUACUCCCAAGUUCCACCAGCCUUUCAGCAGCUGUUUCUGCUGCUGCAACUGUUUCUCCUGGUCCAUCCGCAUCCCCACCAGUCACUCCUGCUGUAGCGCGGCGGGCUUUGGAUUUUCCGACCAGGGUGUUGUCUGGCCCAUCAGCCGUCACCACCAGCUCAGCCUCCAUGCUUCCUCUCCCCACCACCCUCUCGACCACUGUCCCUACAGCCACAGCUUCCUCUGGAUCACAGACCACC